UUGCUUCCCCUAGUGCUGAUGUUGGUUUACCUCCCACUUAUGUUAGAUCUUUGCUUUGCUUUGCUUUCCCCUAGUUUGCACUCUUAACCCAACAGGGCCUUAAGGUUUGAGGGAAGGCAUCUGUCCACUGCCAUUAGCUCAAAUACCCAAACAAAGCCUAAAGUUUGAACCCAUAUUCAGAUUCAAGAAUGAUAUUUGUAUUUACUAUUUAGCUACUCUACGGUAGUUAAAUUUAGUUUUUGAACAGAAAUUCCUUAUUGCUUCUAUUUGUUGGUGUUUGUGAAUGCAUCAACUAAUGGGAUGGAAGGAAUCAUUUUACAGGUGCUAGCAUUUGGUAAGCACUAUCUAGAUCCUUGUCGGACAGUCAAUCCCACUCAAUCAGAGAGAGAGAAGUGGGGAUUAUACGGAGUACAGAUUCCUUGCCUAUUAUCCCUCAGUUAUGAUGUGUGUGGUCCUACAUGACACUCUCAAUUCAAGUGGAAGGUUUGCGAGGCAUAAUUCCUGCCAAGCUGGGGUUGACCAGCCUGUUCACUGCAUGUGGAGUAGAUCUCUUCUUCACCAGGAUAGCACCCUUGUGUACAUAUGAUUCCCUCGCAGAAGACUACAAUUACACUUCUCAUCACAAUUGUUGCGCUAGUUCUGUCAAUUUUUGUAACAUGGGUCUUGUAUGAGAAAAAGGAUUUGAAAGAGAAAUGGAGGUUAGCUGGUCUCUUCUUCUUCUUCUCUCUUCUUUUCCACACUAAAGAUUUGUUCUUCUUCCAUCAAGUGGCACACUUUUUGAUAGCUUUGGGAGGUUGCUCCAA